rnacentral:lncRNA from 1 species
CUCUCUCUCCCUCCCGAACCAUGGUUACCAACAGAGAUUGCCAGUUGCAAUCAGAACUGAAAAAAAUCAAGAGCGCUCCGCCUACAAAAAUAAAGGAAAACUGAAAAUGGCUAAAAAAAACCUAUGACAGUCAACAGAUUCGAGCGUAGUUUAUGUCGAAAAAUUUUUCAAGUGAACUUUUCUUUUUAAGUUUUCAGAUUUAUUCAAAGUAUUACUCCCAAAUCCUACCAAAUUUUGAACCCAUAAUUGCAAUUUCUUCUAAGUUCGUCGAAGAAGAACCGCAAGUGUUUCGACAUGCUUCGGUGACCCAAAACGAACCAAUAUCACCCAAAUUCACCAUUUUCGGUUAAAGCCAAGAAUUUUCCUGAAUUUUGCAUUUGUUCUAUUCGAUUUUAAAUCCUGAAACUCAAUUUCCAGCAACUGUAGCUCGUCAGAGUUUUGCAAAAUAUUAGGGCUGAUGUUUACGAUGGUGAAAUGGUCUGAAAUUUUGUGAAAAGAAUCGAUCUGGAGGUGGAGAAUAAAUUUCACGGUUUAGAAUUUACAAUUUUGCCUACAAUUAAGCUUAGCCAUGGUUAUCAGGGUACUUUCCUUGUUCUUUCGUUUGGCAGAAGAAAACGGAAAAGAAGGGGGUUCGGGAAAGAUGACGAAAGGGAG